rnacentral:lncRNA from 1 species
AAGCUGCCACUUCCCUAUGAAGAUGCCCAUACCAAAGCAAUUACUGUAUGGGAAGAUGCCGACUGCCUGGAAGAACCUGUUCAUUCUGGGUCUGUAAUGGAGUCUGUGAGGAGCUCAGCUUCCUGGUAUGGAAGAAGGCAGUGGUCUGAUCUUCACCUUGCUCCUGUCCUGGAGAAGACGUAAGGUGGCUUCUGUCAUGAACAGUUUUGCCUGGGCUCAAUUCCAGUCUGAGAAGAUGGCCUGAAGGACAAGGUCAUCACCCACUUGUGAUGGAGACCAGUGUGGCUGCUGAAAUUGCUCAUCCUGAUGUUCAGCAAGCAAGAUGAUUUACAUGGAAACCACACCAGGAUGCUGGAGGUGGAAGACCCGCUCGCUCUAGAGCCUUCAAAGGACUUAGGACUCAAUGGGGCACGAAAGCAGCCUAAUUCUGAGGAGAAAAGACUUUUUCAACUGAAACCCUGGGAUGUGUCACUGAAGGAAAUGUAAAAGCCAAACAUUUGGACAAUUUGGAAACACGUGUCAAUUUUUUUUCAAGUUGAAACAACUGUUCAAACCACCCUCGCCUGCGAAAAGUUAAAUGGGCAUUUUCCCACCAGGCCCCCUCCCCUUUCUGAGCCCCUCACACUGGGAGUUUCCCAGCUGGCCCAUGUUAGAUGGUGGAUAAGAUGUAGCGAUGGGGCAAAUGUGAUGGAACCACGUUGGCGGCAGCAGCAGCAACUUGAACCACUCUGAAACCUCAUUGGACUCUUGGUUUUAAUUGUCCCAGGGCAAAAGCCCUUCAUGACUUGCAGAUUUUUCCUCCUUCCCAGCCACCACCAUUGGGAUCCUUCAGGAGGAAUUUCAAGGGCAUGUGGGUUCCCUGAAGAUAAAGAUACAGAUGAAUAUCUACUGCAACCCUCAAAAGCAUCUAGGAUGAUUAACAGUUGACCUCCUGAUGGGGCCGUUAACCACACUGGACAAUGGGACUUAGGCUCUUAAAUUGUUUCCAUGCUUUUGGAAAAUAUUUGUAGCCCUCAUCGAGACUUCUCAGCCAGCAGCAGCAGCAGUCAAGGAAGGACAUGUGG